rnacentral:rRNA from 1 species
GCAUAUCAAUAAGCGGAGGAAAAGAAACCAACAGGGAUUGCCCUAGUAACGGCGAGUGAAGCGGCAACAGCUCAAAUUUGAAAUCUGGCCUUCUGGUCCGAAUUGUAAUUUGCAGAGGAUGCAUUUGACGCGGUACCUUUCGAGUUCCUUGGAACAGGACGCCUUAGAGGGUGAGAGCCCCGUACGAUUGGCCACCAAGUCUCUGUAAUGCUCCUUCGACGAGUCGAGUAGUUUGGGAAUGCUGCUCUAAAUGGGAGGUAAAUUUCUUCUAAAGCUAAAUACCGGCCAGAGACCGAUAGCGCACAAGUAGAGUGAUCGAAAGAUGAAAAGCACUUUGAAAAGAGGGUUAAAUAGCACGUGAAAUUGUUGAAAGGGAAGCGCUUAUGACCAGACUUUUUCUAGGGGGAUCAUCCGGCGUUCUCGCUGGUGCACUUCCCCUGGUUUAGGCCAACAUCGGUUUCUGCGGGAGGAUAAAGGCUUCGGGAAUGUGACUCCUCCGGGAGUGUUAUAGCCCGUUGCAUAAUACCCUCGCGGGGACCGAGGUACGCGCAUUGCAAGGAUGUUGGCAUAAUGGUCAUCAGUGACCCGUCUUGAAACACGGACCAAGGAGUCGAACAUUUGUGCGAGUGUUUGGGUGUCAAACCCUCACGCGUAAUGAAAGUGAACGGAGGUGAGAGCCUUAGGGUGCAUCAUCGACCGAUCCUGAUGUCUUCGGAUGGAUUUGAGUAAGAGCAUAACUGUUCGGACCCGAAAGAUGGUGAACUAUGCGUGGAUAGGGUGAAGCCAGAGGAAACUCUGGUGGAGGCUCGCAGCGGUUCUGACGUGCAAAUCGCAUCGUCAAAUCUGCGCAUGGGGGCGAAAGACUAAUCGAACCAUCUAGUAGCUGGUUACCGCCGAAG